rnacentral:rRNA from 1 species
AUGGAGGCGGCUCUAGUGAGUGCGGCGACGGGGGUCCUCAAACCUGUCUUGGGGAAGCUGGCAGCCUUGCUCGGCGACGAGUACAAACGUUUCAAGGGUGUGCAUAAGGAGAUCAAGUCCCUCACUCACGAGCUUGCCGCCAUGGAGGCUUUUCUCCUCAAGAUGUCCGAGGUGGAAAAUCCCAAUGUACAGGAUAAAGUCUGGAUGAAUGAGGUGCGGGAGUUGUCUUAUGACAUGGAGGAUGCCAUUGAUGACUUCAUGCAAAGUAUCCAUGACAAAGAUGAAAAGCCAGAUGGCUUCAUUGGGAAGAUCAAGAGCUCACUGGGAAAGUUGGGAAAGAUGAAGGCUCGUCAUCGGAUUGGCAAGGAGAUCCAAAAUCUUAAGAAACAGAUCACUGAGGUGGGUGAAAGAAAUUCUAGGUAUAUGACUGGUGUGGCUAUCUCCAACACCAAGAAUGCAACUGUUGACCUUCGAGCUCUUUCUAUGUUUGAGAACGCCUCAAAACUUGUGGGAAUUGAUGAACCAAAGGCUGAGAUAAUCAAACUGCUGACCGAAGGUGAAUCAACAAAUGAGCAACCUAAACUGGUCUCCAUCGUAGGAGCUGGUGGAAUGGGUAAGACAACUCUUGCAAACCAAGUCUAUCAAGACCUCAAAGAAAAAUUCGAAUGCCAAGCCUUCCUGUCUGUGUCACGAAAUCCAGACAUGAUUAAUAUUGUGUCUGCGAAGUCAGUGGUCAAGAUUAUGCUACCACUGAAGCAGGGAAUAUACAACAAAUCAUCAUCAAAAUCACAAAUUUCCUAG